CAGAGUAGGGCUUUCUUCGUUAAGUGCCGCUAAAAUGGGGAGUUGUCUGGCGGACGAAGGCGCAAGCCGCGGUUGGAAGCCCGCACCCGCUG
rnacentral:ncRNA from 1 species